AAAGUCCAUGGAAAGCUCGUGGCCACCUUUUUUUUUUCUAUGAUACAGAGUCCCACUUUGUCAUCCGCAGUAGAGUGUCGUGGUAUCACAGCUCACAGCAACUUCAAACUCUUGGGCUCAAGAGAUUCUCUUGCCUCAGCCUCCUGAGUAGCUGGGACUACAAGUGUACACCACAAUGCCCAGCUGUUUUUAGAGAUGAGGUCUCGCUCUUGCUCAGGCUGGUCUCGAACCUGUGAGCUCAGGCAGUCCACCCACCUUGGCCUCCCAGAGUGCUAGGAUUACAGGCGUGAGCCACCGAGUCUGGCCUCAUGGCCACCUUUUGAGGUAUGCCAUGUGGUCCCAUUUUGCAACUCAGGAUAUUAAAGCACACACAGGGGAAAUAUGUUAUUAAGCCAUGGGCUCAUAGCUAAUGCUUGUUGAACAUGGAAGCCAAUACUAUGGCAUCUGCCUUAGAGAAAUUAUAAAGGUUUAUCUCCAAUCAAUGGACAAGGAGACGGGAGGCAACCCUCAAUUCUGUCUCCUCAGUCUGUGUGAUAGGUCAGGCGUUUGUGGCAUUUCAAAGUAGUCCCAAAUUAACACCAAAGUGUUAAUAAUUAGGUUAUAGCUUUCUUCUAUUGCAUAUACCUGGGCUUUAGGACUUAUAGUUCUGGCUUUGUGCCAUCGGUAACAACUUAAGCAAUGGUUAAUCAGUUUCAGCUAGUCCCACAGUUACAUGUGGCUUGCUCAAAAAGUUAUAUCUUGGGGCAGGGCAAUGGCUCACACCUGGAAUUCUACCACUCAGAGAGGCUAAGGCGGGUGAAUUGCUUGAGCUCAGGAGCUCAAGACCAGCCUGAGAAAAAGUGAGACCCCAUGUCUACUAAAAGUAGAAAAACUAGCUCGCUGUUGUAGUGAGCACCUGUAGUCUCAGCUACUUGGGAGUCUGAGGUAAGAGGAUCACUUAAGACCAAGAGUUUGAAUUGCUGUGAGCUAUGAUGAAUCCACUGCACCCAACCCAGGGCAAAGGAGUAAGACUCAGUCUCAAAAAAAAAAAAAAAAAGUUACAUCCUGUACCAGAUGCUCUCAAUACCCUGGUCUGGUCAUGCAUGCCCUUGGCUGCCUACUGCUGCAGGUUCAUGCUGGAAUUGCCCACUGAAAGGUUAAAAACAAUGGGGAACCACAAUGAGAUACCACUUUACUCUGUCACUAGGUUAGUAAUAACAAUGAUAAUGAAAGGAAAAGAAAAGUUGUCAAGGAUGCAGAAAAACCGGAAUAGUUGAACCUUUAUACAUUGCUGAUAGGAAUAUGAAACUGUUAUACCUUUGGGGAAAUAGUCUGGCAGGUUCUCAAAAAGUUCAGCAUAAAAUUUCCACAUGUGGGGCUGGUCCAUGGGCAAUGGUGUUUACAACUAAUUGAUCACAACCAGUUACAGAUUCCUUUGUUCCUUCUCCACUCCCACUGCUUCACUUGACUAGUUAAAAAAAAAGAAAAAAAUUUUUCACAUGUCGGCGGCACCUGUGGCUCAAUGAGUAGGGCGCCUGCUCCAUAUACCAAGGGUGGUGAGUUCGAACCCGGCCCCAGCCAAACUGCAACAAAAAAAUAGCCGGGUGUUGUGGCAGGCGCCUGUAGUCCCAGCUACUUGGGAGGCUGAGGCAAGGGAAUCGCCUAAGCCCAAGAGCUAGAGGUUGCUGUGAGCUGUGACACCAUAGCACUCUACUGAGGGUGAUGAAGUGAGACUCUGUCUCUAAAAAAAAAAAAAUAGAAUUGAAAACAUGUUUACUCAAAAACUUGUACAUGAUGGGCUCAGUGGCUCAUGUCUAUAAUCCUAGCACUCUGGUAGGCUGAGGUGGGCAGAUUGCCUAAGCUCAGGAGUUCGAGACCAGCCUGAGCAAGAGUGACACCUCUGUCUCUACUAAAAAUAGAAAAAAUGAGGCCAAAGGAUCACUUGAGCCCAGAAGUUUGAGGUUGCUAUUAGCUAUGAUGCCACAGCACUCUACUGAAGGCAACAAAGUUAGACUCCGUCUCAAACAAACAAACAAACAAAUAAAUAAUAAAACCUUGGGCUUGGCGCCCGUAGCACAGUGCUUACAGCGCCAGCCACAUACACUGAGGCCUACGGGUUCAAAACUGGCCUGGAUCAGCUAAACAACAAUUACAACUGCAACAAAAAAUAGCUGGGCAUUGUGGUGGGUGCCUGUAGUCCCAGCUACUUGGGAGGCUGAGGCAAGAGAAUCGCUUAAGUCCAAGAGUUUGAGGUUGCUGUGAGCUGGGACAUCACAGCACUCUACCAAGGUCAACAUACUGAGUCUCUGUCUCAAAAAAAACAAAUAAAUAAAAUGGCUUGGCACCUGUAGCUCAAGCAGCUAAGGUGCCAGCCACGUAGACCAGAGCUGGCGGGUUUGAAUCCAGCCCGGGCCUGCCAAACGACGAUGACAACUACAACCAAAACAAAACAGCCAGGCAUUGUGGCAGGUGCCUGUAGUCCCAGCUACUUGGGAGGCUGAGGCAAGAGAAUCACUUAAGCCCAGAAGUUGGAGGUUACUGUGAGCUGUGAUGCCAUAGUACUCUACCCACGGUUACAGCUUGAGGCUCUGUCUCAAAAAAUAAUAAUAAUAAAUGAAUAAAAAGUAAAAAUAGGUGGCGCCUGUGGCUCAGCGGGUAGGGCGCCGGCCCCAUAUGCCGAGGGUGGUGGGUUCAAACCCAGCCCUGGCCAAAACUGCAACAAAAAAAUAGCAGGGUGCUAUGGCGGGUGCCUGUAGUCCCAGCUGCUCUGGAGGCUGAGGCAAGAGAAUCGCCUAAGCCCAGGAGUUGGAGGUUGCUGCGAGCUGUGCGACGCCACGGCACUCUACUGAGGGCGAUAAAGUGAGACUCUGUUUCUACCAAAAAAAAAAAGUAAAAAUAGCCAGGCAUGUGGCGGGCACCUGUAGUUCCAGCUACUAGGGAGGUUGAGGCAAGAGGAGGAAACAUUGUUAAAGUCUCUCUUCCCACUGCCAUCAUGUCUAAGUCAGAGUCUCCUAAGGAGCCCGAACAGCUGCGGAAGCUCUUCAUUGGAGGGUUGAGCUUUGAAACGACUGAUGAGAACCUGAGGAGCCAUUUUGAGCAAUGGGGAACGCUCCCAGACUGCGUGGUAAUGAGAGAUCCAAACACCAAUCGCUCCAGGGGCUUCGGGUUUGUCACAUACACCACCAUGGAGGAGGUGGAUGCAGCAGUGAAUGCAAGGCCACACAAAGUGGAUGGAAGAGUUGUGGAACCAAAGAGAGCUGUUUCCAGAGAAGAUUCUCAAAGACCUGGUGCUCACUUAACUGUGAAAAAGAUCUUUCUGGAUGGCAUUAAAGAAGAUACUGAAGAACAUCACUUAAGAGAGUUUUUUGAACAGUAUGGGAAAAUUGAAGUAAUUGAAAUCAUGACUGACCGAGGCAGUGGCAAGAAGAGGGGCUUUGCUUUUGUUACGUUUGAUGACCAUGAUUCUGUGGAUAAGAUUGUCAUUCAGAAAUACCAUACUGUGAAUGGCCACAACUGUGAAGUAAGGAAAGCCCUGUCAAAGCAAGAGAUGGCUGGUGCUUCGUCCAGCCAAAGAGGUCGAAGUGGUUCUGGAAACUUUGGGGGGUUGUGGAGGUGGUUUUGGUGGAAAUGACAACUUUGGCCAUGGAGGAAACUUCAGUGGUCAUGGUGACUUUGGUGGCAGCUGUGGUGGUGGUGGAUAUGGUGGCAGUGGGGAUGGCUACAAUGGAUUUGGUAAUGAUGGAAGCAAUUUUGGAGGUGGUGGAAGUUACAAUGAUUUUGGCAAUUACAACAAUCAGUCAUCAAAUUUUGGACCCAUGAAGGGAGGAAAUUUUGGAGGCAGAAGCUCUGACCCUUAUGGUGGUGGCGGCCAAUACUUUGCCAAACCACGAAACCAAGGUGGCUAUGGUGGUUUCAGUAGCAGCAGUAGCUAUGGCAGUGGCAGAAGGUUUUAAUUAUUCCCAGGAAACAAAGCUUAGCAGGAGAGGAGAGCCAGAGAAGUGACAGGGAAGCUAUAGGUUACAACAGAUUUGUGAACUCAGCCAAGCACAGUGGUGGCAGGGCCUAGCUGCUACAAAGAAGACAUGUUUUAGACAAUACUCAUAUGUAUGGGCAAAAAACUCGAGGACUGUAUUUGUGACUAAUUGUAUAACAGGUUAUUUUAGUUUCUGUUCUGUGGAAAGUGUAAAGCAUUCCAACAAAGGGUUUUAAUGUAGAUUUUUUUUUUGCACCCAUGCUGUUGAUUGCUAAAUGUAAUAGUCUGAUCAUGAUGCUGAAUAAAUGUGUCU